CCGCGGCGGCGGCCAGCGCGGCCGCGGCGUCGAGCGCCGCGGCGCGCAGCGCGACGGUCGGGUCGUCGGGAUCACCACCGGAUGCCGCGGGCC
rnacentral:tRNA from 1 species